rnacentral:lncRNA from 10 species
UGGUUGAACGGACUCACCAGGAAACGUGACUUUCGUGUCCGACCUCUGCUGUAUCAGGAUUCGAUUCUUGGUGUUAAACAAGACAACGCUGAAGGCUCGGUGCAGCAGCCCUGCAAAGGAGUGGAGCCCCAACCCACGCAGGGCGUGUCUUCAUGGCUUUUCCUGGCCAAUCUGAUACCAAGAUGCAGUGGCCAGAAGUACCUGCACUUCCACUCCUGUCAAGUCUCUGCAUGGCUAUGGUGAGGAAGAGCUCUGCACUGGGCAAGGAAGUUGGCCGUCGAGUGAAGGAAAUGGUGAUGCUGGUGGCCCCUUUCCGGCAGUCAAGUUCCCUAUCAAGGACAUUCAGUUCUCGGAAAGUGGUGAAGGCACAUGCUUCCCUGCAUGGUGCCCGCCUCUCUCCACUCUCUAGAAAUAUUAGAGGCUAGGCUGCUGCUGUAUGUCAGGGCUAGUCCCUCUUCUAUGAAUCCAGAAUAACUCUGAAGAAGCCGAGUAACAGGCAUGAAGUGAAGAGAAAUCGCUGUAACAGGAAGACAGCAAAGCAGAUGCUAAUGACCACACUAUUUAACGAACUGGAACCAACGAGAAAAUACGGUAUUACUGAAGACUGCACUUCCUUGAACAGAGUGCUCUUCUCAGCAAAUCGGAAAUGCCUACACAAAUCGCUUUACAAGAAAGACUGUUUCAAAGCAGCACCUUUCUCAAUGUUCUCGUUCAGGUGACAAUUCUUCUUGGUCUCAGCUCCAAUUUUAUUGUCAUUUUCAUCAAUAAGGAUACACAUCUCUGCCAGGAGUUGAACCUGUUGCUUGUCGAGGUGGUUAGUGUUUAUUUCAGGCAUCAUUACAAAAUGUCUGAUCUGUUCUAGAACACUAAUAUUAAAGGAAAAGAGAAAGAAA